UACGGAAGGUCCUGGCGUUAUCCGGAUUUAUUGGGUUUAAAGGGAGCGCAGGCGGGGGAUUAAGCGUGACGUGAAAUGCCGCGGCUCAACCGUGGAAGUGCGUCGCGAACUGGUUUCCUUGAGUGAGUACGACGCCGGCGGAAUUCGUGGUGUAUCGGUGAAAUGCUUAGAUAUCACGAAGAACCCCGAUUGCGAAGGCAGCCGGCGAGGCCUUAACUGACGCUAAAGCUCGAAGGUGCGGGUAUCGAAC
rnacentral:rRNA from 1 species